GUGAACGCUGGCGGUAGGCCUAACACAUGCAAGUCGAACGGCAGCACAGUAAGAGCUUGCUCUUACGGGUGGCGAGUGGCGGACGGGUGAGGAAUACAUCGGAAUCUACUUUUUCGUGGGGGAUAACGUAGGGAAACUUACGCUAAUACCGCAUACGACCUACGGGUGAAAGCAGGGGAUCUUCGGACCUUGCGCGAUUGAAUGAGCCGAUGUCGGAUUAGCUAGUUGGCGGGGUAAAGGCCCACCAAGGCGACGAUCCGUAGCUGGUCUGAGAGGAUGAUCAGCCACACUAGAACUGAGACACGGUCCAGACUCCUACGGGAGGCAGCAGUGGGGAAUAUUGGACAAUGGGCGCAAGCCUGAUCCAGCCAUACCGCGUGGGUGAAGAAGGCCUUCGGGUUGUAAAGCCCUUUUGUUGGGAAAGAAAAGCAGCAGGUUAAUACCCCGCUGUUCUGACGGUACCCAAAGAAUAAGCACCGGCUAACUUCGUG
rnacentral:rRNA from 1 species